rnacentral:rRNA from 1 species
UACAGAGGUCCCGAGCGUUAGGCGGAAUCACUGGGCUUAAAGCGUGUGUAGGCGGACGUCUAAGUACCUUGUGAAAUCCCACGGCUCACCCGUGGAACUGCUGGGUAUACUGGGCGUCUUGAGCCACCUAGGGGCCAGCGGAACAAAUGGUGGAGCGGUGAAAUGCGUAGAUAUCAUUUGGAACGCCAACGGUGAAAACAGCUGGCUGGGGGUGUGCUGACGCUGAGACACGAAAGCCAGGGGAGCGAACGGG